CGCACCUUGCGCCUUUUGGUAUUCCGAAAGGCAUGCCUGUUUGAGUGUCAUGAAAUCUCAAUCCCCUCGGGUUUUCCGACCUGGGGUGGACUUGGAACUGGGCGUCUGCCAUCUCGAUGGCUCGCCUCAAAUGACUUAGUGGGAUCAGCAUCCACGGCUUUGACGUAAUAAGUUUCGUCUGGCUAGGUGUGAGGCCCGCUCAUAACCCGCCGCAAGGCAACAUUUUUUGACUCUGGCCUCAAAUCAGGUAGGGCUACCCGCUGAACUUAA
rnacentral:misc_RNA from 1 species